UACGUAGGUGGCAAGCGUUGUCCGGAAUUAUUGGGCGUAAAGCGCGCGCAGGCGGUCCUUUAAGUCUGAUGUGAAAGCCCACGGCUCAACCGUGGAGGGUCAUUGGAAACUGGGGGACUUGAGUGCAGAAGAGGAAAGCGGAAUUCCACGUGUAGCGGUGAAAUGCGUAGAGAUGUGGAGGAACACCAGUGGCGAAGGCGGCUUUCUGGUCUGUAACUGACGCUGAAGCACGAAAGCGUGGGGAGCAAACAGG
rnacentral:rRNA from 1 species